UACGGAGGGGGCUAGCGUUGUCCGAAGUUACUGGGCGUAAAGCGCGCGUAGGCGGGUUGGCAAGUCCGCUGUGAAAGCCCGGAGCUCAACUCCGGAGGGUCGGUGGAUACUGCCAGUCUUGAAGGUGCUAGGGGGAGAUGGAAUUACCGGUGUAGCGGUGAAAUGCGUAGAUAUCGGUAGGAACACCAGUGGCGAAGGCGGUCUCCUGGGGCAUUCUUGACGCUGAGGCGCGAAAGCUGGGGGAGCGAACGGG
rnacentral:rRNA from 1 species